rfam:Parcubacteria bacterium GW2011_GWA1_48_11b TY24_C0001, whole genome shotgun sequence.
GGCGCCAUCGUCUAGCCCGGUCUAGGACGCGUCCCUUUCACGGAUGAAACACGGGUUCGAAUCCCGUUGGCGCCA